UAGGCUUUAGCUUGGGUGGAGGGUAAAGUUCAGCCAAGCAUCGAUCCGUAGCUGUUGAAGAGACGAUCAGACACACUGGGACUGAGAACACGUCCAGACUCUACGGAGCAGGCAGUGGGGAAUUUUGACCAUGGGGGAAAUCUGAUCCAGCAUCCCGCGUGUAUGAUGAAGGCUUCGGGUGUAAAGUACUUUUGGCAGAGAAGAAAAGGUAUCCCUAAUACGGGAUACUGCUGACGGUAUCUGCAGAAUAAGCACCGGCUAACUACGUGCCAGCAGCCGCGGUAAUACGUAGGGUGCAAGCGUUAAUCGGAAUUACUGGGCGUAAAGCGUGUGUAGGCGGUUCGGAAAGAAAGAUGUGAAAUCCCAGGGCUCAACCUUGGAACUGCAUUUUUAACUGCCGAGCUAGAGUAUGUCAGAGGGGGGUAGAAUUCCACGUGUAGCAGUGAAAUGCGUAGAUAUGUGGAGGAAUACCGAUGGCGAAGGCAGCCCCCUGGGAUAAUACUGACGCUCAGACACGAAAGCGUGGGGAGCAAACAGGAUUAGAUACCCUGGUAGUCCACGCCCUAAACGAUGUCAACUAGCUGUUGGGGCCGUUAGGCCUUAGUAGCGCAGCUAACGCGUGAAGUUGACCGCCUGGGGAGUACGGUCGCAAGAUUAAAACUCAAAGGAAUUGACGGGGACCCGCACAAGCGGUGGAUGAUGUGGAUUAAUUCGAUGCAACGCGAAAAACCUUACCUACCCUUGACAUGUCUGGAAAGCCGAAGAGAUUUGGCCGUGCUCGCAAGAGAACCGGAACACAGGUGCUGCAUGGCUGUCGUCAGCUCGUGUCGUGAGAUGUUGGGUUAAGUCCCGCAACGAGCGCAACCCUUGUCAUUAGUUGCUACGCAAGAGCACUCUAAUGAGACUGCCGGUGACAAACCGGAGGAAGGUGGGGAUGACGUCAAGUCCUCAUGGCCCUUAUGGGUAGGGCUUCACACGUCAUACAAUGGUCGGGACAGAGGGUCGCCAACCCGCGAGGGGGAGCCAAUCUCAGAAACCCGAUCGUAGUCCGGAUCGCAGUCUGCAACUCGACUGCGUGAAGUCGGAAUCGCUAGUAAUCGCGGAUCAGAAUGUCGCGGUGAAUACGUUCCCGGGUCUUGUACACACCGCCCGUCACACCAUGGGAGUGGGUUUCACCAGAAGUAGGUAGCCUAACCGUAAGGAGGGCGCUACCCCGUCGGGGU
rnacentral:rRNA from 1 species